AUUGAACGCUGGCGGCAGGCCUAACACAUGCAAGUCGAGCGGAUGAAGGGAGCUUGCUCCUGGAUUCAGCGGCGGACGGGUGAGUAAUGCCUAGGAAUCUGCCUGGUAGUGGGGGAUAACGUCCGGAAACGGGCGCUAAUACCGCAUACGUCCUGAGGGAGAAAGUGGGGGAUCUUCGGACCUCACGCUAUCAGAUGAGCCUAGGUCGUAUUAGCUAGUUGGUGGGGUAAAGGCCUACCAAGGCGACGAUCCGUAACUGGUCUGAGAGGAUGAUCAGUCACACUGGAACUGAGACACGGUCCAGACUCCUACGGGAGGCAGCAGUGGGGAAUAUUGGACAAUGGGCGAAAGCCUGAUCCAGCCAUGCCGCGUGUGUGAAGAAGGUCUUCGGAUUGUAAAGCACUUUAAGUUGGGAGGAAGGGCAGUAAGUUAAUACCUUGCUGUUUUGACGUUACCAACAGAAUAAGCACCGGCUAACUUCGUG
rnacentral:rRNA from 1 species